AUGAUGCCGGGGUCAGCCCCGCCGGCCGCCGGGAGCGGCAUGUUCGUGCCGACGCAGACGGCGGGCACGGUGCUCUGCUGCAUCUGCGGCGUCUCCAUGCAGCCCAACCCGGCCAACAUGUGCGCCCGCUGCCUCCGGGCGCGCGUCGACAUCACCGAGGGCGUCCCACGCAACGCCGCCGUCGUCUACUGCCCCGACUGCUUCUCCUACCUCCAGCCGCCGCGCUCCUGGCUCCGCGCCGGCCCGGAGUCCCCCGAGCUCCUGCAGAUCCUCCUCCGCCGCCUCAAGCACCCGCUCGCCCGCCUCAAGGUCUCGCUCUCCGGCGCCGAGUUCGUCUUCUCCGAGCCCCACUCCAAGCGCCUCCGCCUCAAGCUCCGCCUCCGCCGCGAGGUCCUCAACGGCAUCGUCCUCGAGCAGACCCACCCCGUCGAGUUCGUCGUCCACGACCGCCUCUGCGACUCCUGCGCCCGCGCCCAGGCCAACCCCGACCAGUGGGUCGCCGUCGUCCAGCUCCGCCAGCACGUCCCGCACCGCCGCACCUUCCUCUACCUCGAGCAGCUCCUCAUCAAGCAUGGCCAGGCCGCGCUCGCCAUCCGCGUCGCCUCGGCUCCCGGCGGCCUCGACUUCUUCUUCGGCUCGCGCUCGCACGCUGCCCGCCUCGUCGACUUCCUUGGUACAGUCGCUCCCAUCCAGACCAACACAGCCAAGCAGCUCGUCUCUCAUGACACAAAGAGUUUUAUCUAUAACUACAAGUACACUUUCUCGGUCGAGAUCUGUCCCAUAUGCCGUGAGGACCUGAUUGCUCUCAGCCCCAAGGCGUCCCGUGAUCUUGGUGGACUAGGCCCGCUCGUCCUCUGCACCAAGGUCACCAAUGCCAUUGCCCUGCUUGACCCCCUCACUCUGCGUGUGCACCAUCUGGAGGAGAAGAAGUACCGGGUGUACAACUUCAAGGCCGCUCUGACUAGCAAGCAGCUCGUGCAGUACAUGGUGCUUGAUAUUGAGACAGAGUCACCUGAGAUCACCAUUGAUGGAUCUCGGUAUCAGCUGGCAUAUGCGCAGGUCGCGCGGAUGUCUGAUUUUGGGAAAAAUGAUACUGUGUUUACAGUCCGAACUCAUCUUGGGCACCGUCUGAACCCUGGUGACCUUGCCCUUGGGUAUGAUCUCUAUGGUGCCAAUAUGAAUGAUGAUGAUAUGGACAAGGCUUUAUUACGCCAGAAUUUGCCUGAAGUGGUUCUGGUCAAGAAGAGUUACGAGAAGAGGCCACGCACACGCAGAUGGAAGCUGAAGAGGCUGCCUGUUGAGGAAGACCUUGGGAACAAGGCCAAAGGCGAGGAAGAGAGGAGGGAAAAUGAGUAUGAUAUGUUUGUUCGUGAUUUGGAGUCCGAUCCAGAACUAAGGUUUGGGAUAAAUUUGUACAAGAACGAGGACUACAGGUCAGAAAUGGCAUCCACGAUUGGUGACGAUGUCCCUACUGUGCCAAUUGAGGAGUUGAUUGAGGACCUAACCCUUGGUGAUGAUGAGGAUGAAGAGGAGGAAGAGGGUGCAGAUGCUGGUAUGGUGGAAUGA
rnacentral:rRNA from 1 species